rnacentral:snRNA from 1 species
AUCCAUUCUGGCCUUUGGCUAAGAUCACCUCUAACAUCUGUUGUUAUCAGUGUGAUCAAUGGUAUUCGUUCAUUGACCCGAUCAUUCGAUUACUCCCAUCUUCAAGAUGCCCUCCGUCAUCAGCUUGCCUGAUCGAAGGAGACGAUGGCCUCCCUUGCGCCACCAGGCAAGCGCGUUGUUUUGCCU